rnacentral:rRNA from 1 species
CGGGGAACGUUAAGGGCGUCGAGCGGCGGACGGGUGAGUAAUGCCUAGGAAAUUGCCCUGAUGUGGGGGAUAACCAUUGGAAACGAUGGCUAAUACCGCAUAAUGCCUACGGGCCAAAGAGGGGGACCUUCGGGCCUCUCGCGUCAGGAUAUGCCUAGGUGGGAUUAGCUAGUUGGUGAGGUAAUGGCUCACCAAGGCGACGAUCCCUAGCUGGUCUGAGAGGAUGAUCAGCCACACUGGAACUGAGACACGGUCCAGACUCCUACGGGAGGCAGCAGUGGGGAAUAUUGCACAAUGGGCGCAAGCCUGAUGCAGCCAUGCCGCGUGUGUGAAGAAGGCCUUCGGGUUGUAAAGCACUUUCAGUCGUGAGGAAGGUGGUAGUGUUAAUAGCACUAUCAUUUGACGUUAGCGACAGAAGAAGCACCGGCUAACUCCGUGCCAGCAGCCGCGGUAAUACGGAGGGUGCGAGCGUUAAUCGGAAUUACUGGGCGUAAAGCGCAUGCAGGUGGUUUGUUAAGUCAGAUGUGAAAGCCCGGGGCUCAACCUCGGAAUAGCAUUUGAAACUGGCAGACUAGAGUACUGUAGAGGGGGGUAGAAUUUCAGGUGUAGCGGUGAAAUGCGUAGAGAUCUGAAGGAAUACCGGUGGCGAAGGCGGCCCCCUGGACAGAUACUGACACUCAGAUGCGAAAGCGUGGGGAGCAAACAGGAUUAGAUACCCUGGUAGUCCACGCCGUAAACGAUGUCUACUUGGAGGUUGUGGCCUUGAGCCGUGGCUUUCGGAGCUAACGCGUUAAGUAGACCGCCUGGGGAGUACGGUCGCAAGAUUAAAACUCAAAUGAAUUGACGGGGGCCCGCACAAGCGGUGGAGCAUGUGGGUUUAAUUCGAUGCAACGCGAAGAACCUUACCUACUCUUGACAUCCAGAGAACUUUUCAAAGAUGGAUUGGUGCCCUUCGGGAACUCUGAGACAGGUGCUGCAUGGCUGUCGUC